CUUGCAGGCGGCGAGGUAAGUUGGAUGUGAAAGCUCCCGGCUCAACUGGGAGAGUGCGUUCAAGACUGCCUGGCUAGAGUACGACAGAGGGAGGUGGAAUUCCAGGUGUAGUGGUGAAAUGCGUAGAUAUCUGGAGGAACACCAGAGGCGAAGGCGGCCUCCUGGGUCGAAACUGACGCUAAGAAGCGAAAGCUAGGGGAGCGAACG
rnacentral:rRNA from 1 species